UACGUAGGUGGCAAGCGUUGUCCGGAAUUAUUGGGCGUAAAGCGCGCGCAGGCGGUCCUUUAAGUCUGAUGUGAAAGCCCACGGCUCAACCGUGGAGGGUCAUUGGAAACUGGGGGGACUUGAGUGCAGGAGAGAAGAGUGGAAUUCCACGUGUAGCGGUGAAAUGCGUAGAGAUGUGGAGGAACACCGGGUGGCGAAGGCGGCGAUCUGGGUCGAAUACUGACGCUGAGGUGCGAAAGCGUGGGGAGCAAACAGG
rnacentral:rRNA from 1 species